ACAUGCCUACAACAUAACAUUAAUGUAACAGAUCCCAUUAAAACUCUGCAGUUAAGCGUGCUCAGGUUAGAGUAGUACUAAGAUGGGUGACCCCCAAGAUUUCCUAGUGUUUUACAUGCC
rfam:Picea glauca, whole genome shotgun sequence.